AGUGGUUCUAAAUAGUUCAACA
rnacentral:miRNA from 1 species